rnacentral:tRNA from 1 species
GCCGCCCGAGGCGGCAACGCCGAUACCGACAGCAUCGACGACCUGCACGCCACGAUCACGGACCUCCUAAAGCCGGUGUCGCAUGUUCGAAUCAUGCCGGGGGCACCA